rnacentral:piRNA from 1 species
UGGUAAUCCUUUGAUCAGGGACAGGUCCA